CUUCCGGGAGCAACAGAAAUAGCGGUGAUCCAGCUACCAACUCUCGGUAUCCGUCUCCGUUAUUAACAGUUUCCUGGAUUCUGUUGGGAAGGCAGCUAUCAUGAAAGAACCAUUCCCGGACAGAUUUAAAAAUUCUCUCCUGUGUUGGACUCUGGGAUCUUGACUUGAGGUGCUGUGAAGAAGUUCUUUUCUGAUGGUAACUGUCUCCAGUUGUAUAUGCCUGACAUGCAGCAGCAGCAUCUGCCAGGGGUGUCCCUGGCCAUGACUGUGACUUUGAGCGCCCGCUGCCCCCAGAGACCUCUCAUCACAGCUCUCACCUCUGUCCUUAUUAGCAUCACCAGUUGGGCAACUUAUAAAGGCCCUGCCUA